GGUGAAUAAGCCACGGCUAACUACGUGCCAGCAGCCGCGGUAAUACGUAGGUGGCAAGCGUUGUCCGGAUUUACUGGGUUUAAAGGGUGCGUAGGCGGUUCAAUAAGUCAGUCGUUAAAGGCAGCAGCUUAACUGUUGUAAGGCGAUUGAUACUGUAGGACUUGAAUUAUUUGGAGGUUGUCGGAAUAUGUAGUGUAGCGGUGAAAUGCUCAGAUAUUACGUAGAACGCCGAUUGCGAAGGCAGAUACUAGGAUAGAUUGACGCUGAGGCACGAAAGUGUGGGGAGUCGAACAGGAUUAGAUACCCUGGUAGUCCACACCUGUAAACGAUGAUUACUAGAUGUUG
rnacentral:rRNA from 1 species